GACGAACGCUGGCGGCGUGCUUAACACAUGCAAGUCGAACGGAAAGGCCCUGCUUUUGUGGGGUGCUCGAGUGGCGAACGGGUGAGUAACACGUGAGUAACCUGUACUUGUCUUUGGGAUAACUUCAGGAAACUGGGGCUAAUACCGGAUAGGAGCUCCUGCUGCAUGGUGGGGGUUGGAAAGUUUCGGCGGUUGGGGAUGGACUCGCGGCUUAUCAGCUUGUUGGUGGGGUAGUGGCUUACCAAGGCUUUGACGGGUAGCCGGCCUGAGAGGGUGACCGGCCACAUUGGGACUAAGAGACGGCCCAGACGCCUACGGGAGGCAGCAGUGGGGAAUAUUGCGCAAUGGGCGGAAGCCUGAUGCAGCAACGCCGCGUGCGGGAUGACGGCCUUCGAGUUGUAAACCGCUUUCGCCUGUGACGAAGCGUGAGUGACGGUAAUGGGUAAAGAAGCACCGGCUAACUACGUG
rnacentral:rRNA from 1 species